rnacentral:lncRNA from 1 species
GGCACUGUGGCUCACGCCUGUAAUCACAGCAUUUUGGGAGGCCGAGGCAGGUCAGAAGUUUGAGACCAGCCUGGCCAACAUGGUGAAACCCCGUCGCUACUACAAAUGCAAAAAUUUGCUGCGCAUGGUGGUGCACACCUGUAAUCUCAGCUACUUGGGAGGCUGAAGCAUGAGAAUCACUUGAACCCGGAGGUGGAGGUUGCAGUAAGCCAAGAUUGCACCACUGAACUCCAGCCUGGGUGACAGAAUGUGACUCUGUCUCAAAAAAAAAAAAAAAAGAAAUAGAAUUUCUUGUCUUGGACUAGCAGGGACUUGAGAAAUUAGAGGAGACUAGUGAAUCUCUAUAAAGAGUGAUUCAAUUUAAUGUCUGCUUGGGAGCAACCAAUGGCUCAUCAUUAAAAAGGUUGUCUGUGAUUGGGCUGUGCUGCAGUAAGCUAAUUGAGGAAUCCUGCAAUUUCAAAUUCAAUCUAUGAACUUAAAUAUUGUCUCCUUUUAGUGGUCAGAGAGCCAUGCAUUUAAACAAAAAUGAGCCAGUGUUGUAGAAGCCUUUUAUGUUGACAGAAUCCUAAAGUGUUUCUUGUUCUGGAUUUCAAGUUCUUAAAAGUCUUUGUUUCAGUCUUUUGUUUGAAUUAUUGAUGUCUACAAUACACAUAUUAAAACUUAAACUUAUUUUACCACUCUGUGUAUAUAUCGAUAUAACCAGUUAACAGUUAAUCAAGUCAUACCUUAUUUAGAUUAAAAAUUGGUUCAUUUUAGUGUUCCCUUUUUACUAGCAAAGCUCUGGAUAAUGGAGCAACACAGCACAAAGGGUAACUGACUUAUAAAAGCUCUUUAUGAUGCCAGGAGCAACAGAACACAGUUAAUGUACUCCCCUUCCUUGCUUGGGUCUUCACAUAAGAUAUUCUGUAAGGCUGUGCUUUCAAAAUAAUGCCAGCCUUAAUAGCAGAAUUGUGAGUUUUGUGUAAACAAAUAUACUUUCCAGUACUUUGGGGGUUAUUCUUCUAACAGUCGUUGAACAAUUGUUACUUAAACUAAGCCACAGUGUCUCCGCGAUGAGUGUCUUCACUGCAGUUGGCUCUGUAGUGGCUGUUACCAUUUCCUUUUCAUAAACAGGCUGUAGGGUUUCUUCAGUGUAGACAAUGGGUUGGGCAUGGUCAGUACUCGUCGUUCCCAUGCCACCUUUGAUUUCUUGGGCCAUCUUUUGGAUAUAAUUGUUUGGAGGUAUUCCCUUUUCUUUUUCCUUUUGGGCUUACGGACCUUUAAGCAUGCCAGGUCUGUGUGUGUGAGUGCUUCAAGUAAAUGUAGUACCUGUGUUUACAUUUAUAGCUGCAUUAAAAAGAAAACAAACUGUAAAAUCAUCCAAGUGUUACCUCUAUGGCGGUCAUGAAAUGCCCUACAUUUAUUUUUCUUCUUAUCACUGAGUAGUAAUAAUAAGGAUGACUGCCAUCUUAAGGAAAAUUUGCUAAUUCCGAGAAAUAUGUAUUUCCCCAGGACCAAAUUGGCCCUUAGCUGGUUGCUGUGUGCCUCCCCACAUUGGUCCAGGUCCUUUCCAAUGUUUAUGCCACCUUCUGGGUUCCAGUCUGCUUUCGCUGGUCAUUACUUAAUUUCAUUCUCAACAAUACCCUCUGAAGCUACUUCCUGCUUUUCUAGAGAAAGAAGCCAAUGAUCAGAAUGGUGAAUUGAUUAGUUCACAAACCAGCCAGCCAGUGGCAAAGUUGGGCUUGAACUGGGAAGGGCCCUGCUGCUCACCCCAGCCCCGGGGCUGUCUCUCUCUUCCUGCUUUCCUGUCUAAUUGAGAUUGGAUGCUUGUUUUCUCUUUUCUGAUGUUUGGCUAGACCUCUAUCUACUGGCUUUUGGUAGACCCCACCAGCUAAUCCAUCAUGUCUCUCAGUUAAACCUAAGGAGCCCUAGAAAGAGGGGUGCAUGUAUAUCAUCUAUUUCUCCUUUUUUAUUUUAAAUUUCAAUGUUAAUUAUUUUGGUGCAAGUUCCACAAGCACAAUUCCUGGGAAAGCUAUUAAUUUCUGAUGGAACUGGGGCCAAGUCUGUUGCUGAUAUUCAAAAUCUCUUCUCUCACCAGUCAUAGGCUUAUAGCUGGGCACACAAAUGCCCUGCCAGGCCCUGGCUCAGCCUGUAUUGUGCAUACAGAUGGCUAUAGGAACAAAUGGAUCUGUGCACCCCAGGGCCUGUGAUGUGAAACACUGAAGCAGAUUCACUCCCCCACGAACUGAGGCGAGAGUGUCUCCUGUCACUCAGCCUCAACCAUGCAGGGGAUGGUGGAGAAUUUAGAUGCAAGAGCUCCAGUCCUUGAAGUAUCUCAUGGCACAGAGCCCCCUGCCGGCCUGGGACACUUACCUUGGGUCUGAGAGGAUAUAGCUACUUGUCCUAGUCUGUUUAGUGUUGCAAAAAGGAAUACCUGAGACAGGGUAAUUUAUAAAGCAAAGAUGUUUACUUGGCUCAUGAUUCCUCUGGCUGGAAGAUCGGGCAUCUGGGGAGGGCCUCGGGCUGCUCCCAUUCCCGGUGGUGGGAAAGGAGCAGGUGUGUGCGGAGAUUGCAUGACUAUGGAGGAUUCAGGAAAGAGCGGGAGGCACCGGGCUCUUUUUAACAUGGCGACAGAGGACGCCGGAGAGCGCGGGAGCGCCGGGCUCACCUUGGGUCUGAGCCCUGGCACGAACAACCAGCCCUGGCACGAACCAACAGAGGCAGAAUCCACUCACUCCCCACCUUCAGAAAGGGCAUUCAUCUAUUCACAAGGGGUCCACCCCAUAACCCAAAUGCCUCCGCCCCAUAACCCAAAUGCCUCCCAUGAGGCCUCACCUCCCGCCACCCCCACAAUAAGGUUAAAUUUCAAAAUGAGAUUUGGAAGGGUUGAGUAUCCAAACUGUUGCCCUGCCUACCUGUUUUAAGCCACUAGGUUGUCGCUGGAUCUCUCCCCAGCGAAUACAGUUUACAGUGCAGGUAGUAUUCCAGGACCUAGCCAAUGAAAACUUCCCUCAUGGAAUUCUCCUGCCUGAGACAGACAUAAACAACCAGAGUUGAAACAUGUACAAUGUGAGAUAGUGGUGAGGGCUGUGGGGUCAAGGAGCAGCCUUAAGGAAGGAAAAUGAAAAUGUUAGGGAAAAUGGUUGCAGUUUCAGAUGAGGUCAGGGAAGGACUCCUUGUGCCUGAGGUGCAGUUGUACUGGUUAUCUAUUUCUACAAAACAAAUCACCUACACUGUGGUUUAAAACCACAGUCAGUUAUUAGCUCUCAACUCUGUGGGUUGGCAAUCUGGGCUCGGCUCAUCCAGGCAGUCCUUCUCCUGGUCUCAAGUGAACCGAGGCUCCACAGGUGCCAGAUGGCCCAAGAUGGCUCCAUCAGGACACGUGCUGGUUGGCCUUGGUCUCUCUCACCAGGUAUCACCCUCAUCUUCCAGGAAGUCAGCUCGGCCUUCUUUCCACGGGCAUUGCAACAGCAGAACGACCCUGAGUGGAUUCUACUGGCCCCUUGAAGGCAUGCUUCUGAAGACCUCACAUUCUAAUUGUUGAAACAAGUCCCAAGGCCAGCCCAGACU